GAGAAAGUGAAAGUACUCACAGUCAUUGUCUGCAUUAGCAGCAUUGAACAAGGACAUGAAGCAGCAGGAACAACUCCUCAUGGCUACACAUUAGUGAAAAUAUUGGAUUCAGCCCCAAAACAAAGGUUCAGCUCAUCUGCUAGUAGACAAAAGAUUAUGUGACAGAAGUAACCACAGGAAGUUGCAAGUUUCCGCAUUCAAGGCUACUGAAGACAAAGACGAGUGCUUCCCUGUGUCAGUUCACAGCUGUAGAGAAGUUCGCAGA